GUAAACAUAGUUUAAUAAAACAUUAGGUUGUGGUCCUAAAAAUAGAAGUUUAACCCUUCUUGUAUA
rnacentral:tRNA from 1 species